GCCUUGAUCCGUGGAUGUCCGAAUGGGGAAACCCGGCACCUUUAAUGUGGUGUCACUCCCGCCUGAACACAUAGGGCGGGUAGAGGGAACGAGGGGAACUGAAACAUCUCAGUACCCUGAGGAAAGGAAAGCAAUAGCGACUCCCUGAGUAGCGGCGAGCGAAACGGGAAGAGCCCAAACCGAACUGGUGGAACAGCCUGGUGGCGUUGCCUGUUCGGGGUUGUGGGACCUCACUGACCGAGCACCAGAUCGGUCGAGGAGUUACAAAGUCAGUGUGUAGUGGAACGGCUCUGGAAAGGCCGGCCGCAGAGGGUAAUGGCCCCGUACACGAAACGUACUGACCUCCUGUGAGUGUUCCCGAGUAGCGCCGGUUCCGUGAAGGCCGGCGUGAAUCUGCGAGGACCACCUCGUAAGGCUAAGUAUGAGUCGGCGACCGAUAGCGAACUAGUACCGUGAGGGAAAGGUGAAAAGUACCCCGGGAGGGGAGUGAAAUAGUACCUGAAACCAUUGGUUUACAAGCAGUUGAAGAGUAGUCACCAUUUAUGGUGGCCUCGACAGCGUGCCUUUUGAAGAAUGAGCCAGCGAGUUACGGUGUGUGGCAAGGUUAACCAGCGAUGGGAAGCCGGAGCGAAAGCGAGUCUGAAUAGGGCGUAUAGUCGCAUGCUGUAGACCCGAAGCCGGGUGAUCUAUCCAUGGGCAGGGUGAAGCGGAGGUAAGACUCCGUGGAGGCCCGAACCGACCUAGGUUGAAAACUGGGCGGAUGACCUGUGGAUAGGGGUGAAAGGCCAAUCAAACCCGGUGAUAUCUGGUUCUCCGCGAAAUGCAUUUUGGUGCAGCGUCGCACGUUCAGCCAUGGAGGUAGAGCACUGAUUGGGUCAGGGGGCCUACAAGCUUACCAACCCCAGUCAAACUCCGAAUGCCAUGGCUCCAGAGUGCGGCAGUGAGUCCACGGGGGAUGAGCUUCGUUGGACGAGAGGGAAACAGCCCAGAGCGCCGGCUAAGGCCCCUAAGUGUGUGUUAAGUGGCAAACGAUGUGGGAUUGCACAGACAGCCAGGAGGUUGGCUUAGAAGCAGCCACCCUUGAAAGAGUGCGUAACAGCUCACUGGUCGAGUGGUCCUGCGCGGAUAAUGUAACGGGGCUAAACACACCGCCGAAGCCGCGCCUUCGAGUAAUCGAGGGGUAGCGGAGCGUCGUGUCUGCAAUGAAGUCGGAGUGUGAACUUCGGUGGAGCGGUCACGAGUGAGAAUGCUGGCAUGAGUAGCGAGAGAGGGGUGAGAAUCCCCUCCGCCGAAAGCCCAAGGGUUCCUGGGGAAGGCUCGUCCUCCCAGGGUUAGUCGGGCGCUAAGGCGAGGCCGAAAGGCGUAGUCGAUGCACAACCGGUUGAUAUUCCGGUACCACCACGUGCGCGUCCAUUUUGAUUCUUGGUUGCUAAGGGGCUGUCCUCCCUUCGGGGAACGACGAACCGACCCACCUUGAUGACGAAAGCAAAGAGGGGACGCAGGAGGAUAGGUGAACCCAGGCGAUGGUUGUCCUGGGGCAAGCGUGUAGGACGGGGACUAGGUAAAUCCGGGCCCCAUUAAGUCCGAGACGCGACGCCGAGCCGCUACAGGCGAAGUCACUGAUUCCAUGCUGCCGAGAAAAGCCUCUAGCUAGUUCAUGUGGUGCCCGUACCCCAAACCAACACAGGUGGGCAAGUAGAGAAUACUCAGGCGAUCGGGAGAACUGUGGUUAAGGAACUCGGCAAAUUGCAUCCGUAACUUCGGGAGAAGGAUGACCUCAUUAGGGUGAAAGUCUUACGACUCGAGCUCGAAGAGGUGGCACAAACCAGGGGAAAGCGACUGUUUACUAAAAACACAGCAGCGUGCUAAGUCGAAAGACGAUGUAUACGCUGUGACGCCUGCCCGGUGCCGGAAGGUUACGGGGAACGGUUAGCCCUAGGGCGAAGCUGUGAACCUAAGCCCCGGUAAACGGCGGCCGUAACUAUAACGGUCCUAAGGUAGCGAAAUUCCUUGUCGGGUAAGUUCCGACCUGCACGAAUGGCGUAACGACUUUCCCGCUGUCUCAACCACAGACCCGGCGAAAUUGAAGUACGAGUAAAGAUGCUCGUUAGCUACAGAAGGACGGAAAGACCCCGUGGACCUUUACUAUAACUUGGUAUUGGGUUUCGGCAUGGGUUGUGUAGGAUAGGUCGGAGACUAGGAAGCGUGCGCGCUAGCGUGCGUGGAGUCAACCUUGAAAUACGACCCUGCCCAUGUUGGAACUCUAACUUUGGACCCUGAUCGGGUUCGGGAACAGUGCCAGGCGGGUAGUUUGACUGGGGCGGUCGCCUCCCAAAAAGUAACGGAGG
rnacentral:rRNA from 1 species